UACGUAGGGUGCGAGCGUUGUCCGGAAUUAUUGGGCGUAAAGAGCUUGUAGGCGGUUUGUCGCGUCUGCUGUGAAAAUCCGGGGCUCAACUCCGGGCCUGCAGCCGAUACGGGCAGACUAGAGUUCGGCAGGGGAGACUGGAAUUCCUGGUGUAGCGGUGAAAUGCGCAGAUAUCAGGAGGAACACCGAUGGCGAAGGCAGGUCUCUGGGCCACUACUGACGCUGAGAAGCGAAAGCAUGGGGAGCGAACAGG
rnacentral:rRNA from 1 species